rnacentral:rRNA from 1 species
CCUACGGGUGGCUGCAGUGGGGAAUAUUGCACAAUGGGGGAAACCCUGAUGCAGCGACGCCGCGUGAGUGAAGAAGUAUUUCGGUAUGUAAAGCUCUAUCAGCAGGGAAGAAAAAAGACGGUACCUGACUAAUAAGCCCCUGCUAACUACGUGCCAGCAGCCGCGGUAAUACGUAGGGGGCAAGCGUUAUCCGGAUUUACUGGGUUUAAAGGGAGCGUAGACGGCAAUACAAGUCGGAAGUGAAAUACCCGGGCUCAACCUGGGAACUGCUUUGGAAACUGUAUGGCUAGAGUGCUGGAGAGGUAAGCGGAAUUCGGAGUGUAGCGGUGAAAGGCGUAGAUAUUAGGAGGAACACCAGUGGCGAAGGCGGCUUACUGGACAGUAACUGACGUUGAGGCUCGAAAGCGUGGGGAGCAAACAGGAUUAGAUACCCGAGUAGUC